UAUCUGUGAUGAAUAACAUAGACAAGCAUAUGUCUGAAUGUUUGUGAUGCCAAUUUUAAUUCUGAGACUG